rnacentral:rRNA from 1 species
GAGCGAACUGAUUAGAAGCUUGCUUCUAUGACGUUAGCGGCGGACGGGUGAGUAACACGUGGGCAACCUGCCUGUAAGACUGGGAUAACUCCGGGAAACCGGAGCUAAUACCGGAUAAUAUUUUCUCUUGCAUAAGAGAAAAUUGAAAGAUGGUUUCGGCUAUCACUUACAGAUGGGCCCGCGGUGCAUUAGCUAGUUGGUGAGGUAACGGCUCACCAAGGCAACGAUGCAUAGCCGACCUGAGAGGGUGAUCGGCCACACUGGGACUGAGACACGGCCCAGACUCCUACGGGAGGCAGCAGUAGGGAAUCUUCCGCAAUGGACGAAAGUCUGACGGAGCAACGCCGCGUGAGUGAUGAAGGCUUUCUAGUCGUAAAACUCUGUUGUUAGGGAAGAACAAGUACAAGAGUAACUGCUUGUACCUUGACGGUACCUAACCAGAAAGCCACGGCUAACUACGUGCCAGCAGCCGCGGUAAUACGUAGGUGGCAAGCGUUAUCCGGAAUUAUUGGGCGUAAAGCGCGCGCAGGCGGUUUCUUAAGUCUGAUGUGAAAGCCCACGGCUCAACCGUGGAGGGUCAUUGGAAACUGGGGAACUUGAGUGCAGAAGAGAAAAGCGGAAUUCCACGUGUAGCGGUGAAAUGCGUAGAGAUGUGGAGGAACACCAGUGGCGAAGGCGGCUUUUUGGUCUGUAACUGACGCUGAGGCGCGAAAGCGUGGG